rnacentral:lncRNA from 1 species
GGCUGCAGACCUGCCGGGGCGCAGAGAUGGAGAUGCCCAGAUGGCAGGGAGAGAUCCUAAACCCUCAGCCUUGCCCUGGCCCACCGCGGAAUGGCCCGGAGAGAUGGGGGGUUGGGGAAGAACAACAGGAUGGGGAAGGGAGGGCCAAUCAGGCUCAUCUGAAUGUAGGUCAGCCACACCCCACAUAUUGAAUACCAAGAAUCCAUCCCCUGAGAAAGGGCACCCAGGCCGGCCCUACCCCCAGCCUCGCGUCUGGUCCAAGGAGGUCCCAGGGCAGGAAUUAGAAGAGCAUGUCACUAUAUUUCCAGUUGGGGAGGGGUGCUGAGUCUGAGUGAGGAGGUGGUUUCAGUGCCAGGAGGAAUAGAAACUGGCCUGCGGACUGAAUGGGCCUUGAACCCCUGUGACCACUCCCUUCAAGAAUGUGCCCCAACCUUACGGACAAGUGACUCAAAGGAGCCUGAGGGGGAUGGGAGCAAGGAUUUGGCGUGAGUACCUCCCCCACAUGCACAUACAUACAUGUUCCCUUCCCACCCAACUCCUGCCAAAGUUCAGAGUGUCUAUCCUUGCCCUUUCUGUGGCCCCAACUACCCUGGCUCACAGUGCUGCCUGGAAUAGGGGGCCACCAUGCCUCCACCCUCCCCAGGUCUCACUUCCACCUCUGGGCCUGAGUGCCCUGGGCUGGGUAGGCUGGUGAGGGUUGGCCUGUGGGCACCAGUGGUCUCCCAGACAAGGCCCAGGGAAGAUGUGCUGUGUGGGUGAGCAGCCCUGUGUGUGGGCGCUGGAAAAAACCCUGACCUAGGAGUUCAAAGACUGGGUUCUCAUCCUGGCUUAGUCACAGACUUAUUGGAUGUCUUUGAGUAAGACCCUUCCCUUCUCCAAGGCUCCAUUUUCUUACAUGUAAGUGGAGACAGUUGGGGUAGAUUAUUUCCAAGGUUCAAAUCAUACUUUCAUGCAGUACACUGGACCUUAAGUGAGAGGAAGUGGCCUCAGGAAUAGGAUGCUUGGCUUGCUCACUUUCGGCAAGUGGAGAAGAGGUUUAUCUUUGCUGAAUCUAAAUUUUCCUUCUUUCUUUCUUCCUUUCUUUUUUUGACACAGGGUCUUACUCUGCCAUCCAGGCUGGAGUGCAGUAGCAAUCAUAGCUCACUGCAACCUCAAACUCCUGGGCUCAAGUGACCCUCCUGCCUCAGCCUCCUAAGUAGCUGGGACUACAGGCACGUGCCACCAAGUCUGGCUAACUUUUAAAUAUUUUGUAGAGAGGGGCUCAUAUGUUGCCCAGGCUGGUCUCGAACUCCUGGGUGCAAGCCAAUGGCUUCCCAUAGUGCUAGGAUUACAGGCAUGAGCCUCCACACCCAGCCCCUUACAAGGUUUUUAACACUUUAAAAAAACAAAACAAAAAAAUCUUAUUGGCUGGGCACGGUGGCUCACACCUGUAAUCCCAGCACUUCGGGAGGCUGAUGCGGAUGGAUCACUUGAGCUCAGGAGGUCGAGACCACCCUGAGCAACAUGGCAAAACCCCAUCUCUACAAAAAAUACAGAAAACUAGCAGGGCAUGGUGGCACACGCAUGUGCUGCUAGCUACUCAGGAGGUUGUGGUGGGAGGAUCGCUUGAGCCCGAGAGAGGUUGCGGCUGCAGUGAGCCCAGAUCGUGCCACUGUACUCCAGUCUGGGCAACAGAGCGAGACCCUGUCUCAAAACAAAACAAAACAAAAACAAACUUAUUGUUUCACUCAUUAAAAA